AAUUUUAGUCUUGUGGUAAAUUUAUUUUUUAGUUGGUUUUACAUUUGUGAUUUGAGAGAAUUUAAUUUGUAUCUUUUAUUUAUUUGUUUACUUUUAAAGGCAGUGUCUCAUUCGUAGUUCUGGCUGUCCUAGAAUUCACUCUGUAGAUCAUGCUGGCCUUCAAUGCAGAGAUCUGGCUGCUUCUGCCUUCCAAGUGUUGGGGUUAAAGGUGUGUGCUGCAAUGCUAGUUAGAAUUUUAGCAUCAUUCACAACUAGAUUUAAACUCAGUUUAAGAAUAGACUAAGAAAACAAACUGUAAGACUGUUUUCCCCAGGCCACAGGGAAGAGUGACAUCAAUUGAUGGUUGUUUUGACAUUGUCUCAUUUAGCCUAGGUUGGCUGUAAAGUUAACUUCAUGCAUCUACCUCCUGAGUGCUAGGUUUAUAGGUGUGUGGCACUGCUGCAAACAACACAUUUCUUUACACCUUAGUUUUAUAAGAAUACCCUGUGAUAAGUUAUUCUCCACCUUUGGAAUGAGCCAGUUCAAGCUGAAUUAAAGUAUAUAAUAGCAGGUUUAUUGGGAAAGAUAUAUUGGGCGGAUUCACUGGUCCCAAGGAAUGAGUGUGGGAAGUCUUUAUGGGGAAGGAGAGGGAAGAGAAAGAGAGAAAGAGCUUGCACACACAGGAAGAGACAAAAUGCAAGGGUAGGGGUGAGACCAAAAUGUCUGGAUUAUACAGGAAAGAGUUUCUGGGGGAGGUAAAGCCUCCAGAAAAGCCUCCUGGGCUGGAAAGUUCAGGGUAGAGGGUGGGGCAUGUCAGCCAUGUUUCAUAACACGUAGGGACUGAGAGACCUGGUGGCCAAGUCCACUGUGGUAUGUUAAAUAUGACCUAAGCUCCUUGUCUUUGGUCUGAACACCAACACCUUGUAUAAAAGUAUUUCCAGAAUACCUUGUAUACAAGUCUUGCAUAGAAAGUGUGUGGGUUUUUUUGUUUUUGUUUUUUUUUUGUUUGUUUGUUUAUGGGUCUGGAAAGGUGUGGUUUUCUUUGAACAAGUAAUUGUGCUAUUCAUUAUGACUUUAAAUGUUAAUUUCUCUAGCUAUAAAGAGUAUGGCCUAUUUAGGAUUUGGUCAGAGUACUUUUUGAAAGAAACAUGAAUAUAGUGAACAAUUAUUUUUUACAUUUAAUCUUAAAUUAUACAUGUAUUUUAUAGUGUAUCUUAACUGCUAAUUCCAAAAUAGGAACCUUGAAGAGUCUAGAUCAACAACUCUUUCUGGAGGCAUUCAAAAUAGAGAAUUGUCUAUUUUGUGUGUUGUAAAAAUCUUGUUUUAAUUGUAUGUGUGUUACAUGCAUAUGACUGUACACAGGCAUGCACCUACAUAGCUUAGAGAAGGAUAUACUUUUAUUGCUCUCCACCAUAUUUCCGUGAGACAGAGUCUUUCACUGAACCAGAAGCCACCAAUCUGACUGGAUUGACUGCCCAGCAGAAUCCAGGAAUCUGUAUGCUGCUAUUUCCCAGUGUUGGUGUUACAAUCAGUACGGCCAUGCCCAGCAUGGAUAUUGGAGAUUCAUACUUAGACCCUCAGGUUUGCUCAGUAAGUACUCUUAACCAUUGAGCAGUCUCCUAAGUCUCAUAUUCAUUCUUGGCAAUAUGUGAAUUACAGGUAGUGGUGAAUAGUAAUGUUGACUGAACCUGUGUGCAAGUAACCAAGUAUUUAAAUUCAAGUGGUUAACAUUUUUGUUCUAUCUUUUCCUGUAAAGGUAUUGUAUAGUGUAUUUAAACUAUAUAGUUAUUAUAACAAGGUUACCCAUUUUAGAAAUUUUAUAAGUACAGGAAAAAUAGUGUUUAUCAAGGGUUAUAACUGCUUAUUUACAUUUUCAUGCUGAUUUCUUUCCUGUUUUUUUCCCCUUAUUUGUAUUUAUUACCUUUAAGUUGGAUCAUUCUGUUUCUGUAAUGGGGUUAGAGGGUAACAUCCAAAGCAUUAUAAUCAUAUUUAUAUUAUAGCUAGAAUUUUUAUGUUGGAAGAGUGUUAGAGUUCAAAAAUUUUGUCUGAAAGGUUCAUAUAGUAUUUUAUUCAAACCAACAGACAAAAUCUUAGAUUUUUCUGUUUAAACUAUAGUCAUUUAAAAAAUUUAAGUUUCUAUUUUAUUACUUUAUGUGUACUGGUGUUUUGCUUACAUGUAUGUCUGUGCAUCACAUGUGUGCAGUACUCUUGGAGGUCAGAAGAAGGGAUACUCUAGAACUGGAGUUACAGAUGGUGUGAGCCUCUGUGUGGGUGCUGUAGAUUGAACCCAGGUUCCCUGCAAGGGCCUCUCUCCAUCUCCUAAACUGUAAACAUGUGGAAACACUCAGGUUGUGCACUUUCUAAAACAAAAGCAAAACCAAAGUCAAAAGAAAAUAAGCAGCUGGCUAGAUUUGGCCUAUAGCUUAUUUGUCAGCUCCUGCAUUGGAAGAUAAUUUGCUUGUGUUUUAUUUAUAUUUCAAUGUGUGUGUUUGUAUGUGUGCAUGCGCAUGUGCCAUAAUCUAUAAUGUUUCUUGACAUGAUUUUCUUAAAGGCAAGGAGUCAGCCUGUGUAAGCCCACUGACCCUGUCUGUGACUUCGGCCUCCUUAUUGCAGGAAUAAACCAGCUCCUGACUAGUGAGAUAGGAUGCUAAACUUCCCAGGUAGAAGUCCUUACUGUGCUUGGCAGUGAGCUUCACUUAGCCUUUGUAGCAAUCAAGAAAGGUACAACAUAGUGUGUGGAGCCUUCCAGUGAGUGUCAUGGCCACAUGCAAAACUUCAUUUCCCUUGACCUUGAGGCUAUGUUUUCAAAUCUAUUUUUCUAACUUUAGAGAUGAACUUAAUAAAUUUAUGUUAGCAUAGAGAAAUAAAGAUUAAAAAUAGAGAAACAAGGAAGUAGCCAAAAAUAGCUAUUAUGAUGCUCCUUCUUGUCUAAGGGUAACAAUUAUGUCUUACAUUGUAUCCAUAGUGGAAAAACAGCUGUAGUUUUGGCUUUGCUAUGGUGCUGUUUGUUUUGGAUCAUAGUUUAUUCUUUUUUUGGGUAUUUGUAUAAAUGCUCUAUUUCUUACUUUUAACUUAAAUUCAAAGUAUUCCAGCUGAUCUUUAAAGAAAUGUGUGUGGGGCAGCACUAGCGAGUAAAAUAAGCCUAUAUGCUCUUACUCCUUGUCAUUGUCUCUAAUGAUACACACAAAGUUUAACGUGUUAGACUUUGAGGAGCGCAGAUUUAUAUACUCACUUACAGACUUGGACAGAUACCAGCUUUAUUCAGUUAUAGCUUUCUUUAGAUGUGCUGUGUUUCAUAAGAACAUUUAAAAGGAAUGCAGUACCUGUAUUUACCUUUCAUCUUACAAUCUGCAGUUAAACACAGUAGACCAAGAAUUUGGAAGGUAAAUUCUAGAUUGUCUUUUAUAGUGUGUGCGUUCUUUCAAAUGUAAGGUGCUUGCUUU
rnacentral:lncRNA from 1 species